GAAGUGCGAUAAGUAAUGUGAAUUGCAGAAUUCCGUGAAUCAUCGAAUUUUUGAACGCAAAUUGCACUCUCUGGUAUUCCGGAGAGUAUGCCUGUUUGAGGGUCAGUCAAAUAAAAAUCGAUGUCGUUGUCACCAUGAUAACGCGUCGGAAUUGAGUCGUCUUACCUUCGGUUAAGUGACUUAAAAUUUUUACGCGAAUUCGAAACGUAUUUAACGUUUAUGUACGUUUGCGAUAUUCCAAUAUUUAUUAGAUGCGGUCAUUCCUAUGAUUCGCGCCUAUAAUUUUUCAUUUCUUGACCUCAAAUCAGGUAAGAGUACCCGCUGAACUUAA
rnacentral:misc_RNA from 1 species